GAUGAAGAACGUAGCGAAAUGCGAUAAGUAGUGUGAAUUGCAGAAUUCAGUGAAUCAUCGAAUCUUUGAACGCACAUUGCGCCCAUUAGUAUUCUAGUGGGCAUGCCUGUUCGAGCGUCAUUAAUUCCACUUAAGCCCUGCUUAGUGUUGGGAAUCUACUCUAGUGGUGCUACCCUGGAGCUACCCCUGAAAGGGGGCUGGCCCGGUAGUUACCCUGUAGUUCCUCAAAGAUAGUGCGCGGAGUUGCGUGGUCCUCUGAGCUUAGUAACUAUACACCUAGCUUUUGAGUGUCCCGCGGCGCCUGCCGUUUAAACCCCAUCUUUUAAUGGUUGACCUCGGAUCAGGUAGGAAUACCCGCUGAACUUAAGCAUAUCAAUAAGCGGAGGA
rnacentral:misc_RNA from 1 species